CGAAGAGAAGCGCCUGCGCAGUUUUCCGUGGCCGCUCCUUUUCUGCUGAGAAUUUGAAAAGUUCAGUGGAGAGAAGUGAGCACUCUUAAAGAACGAGGUCCCGUAGAGUGAACUGGGCAGCGGGAGACCUCGACAGUGGUGUCAUUUCACAGCUGAAGAGUGAUCAUCUCUGAGAGAACAGCUUUGGAACCAGACACACUCUGGAGGGGCGUGGCGGUCGCACCUGCGCGAGUUGGGGGAAGGAGGAGGAGCGAGGUGACGCAGGCGUAAUAAUAGAGAAGGUGCCAGAAAGAUCCAAAACAAGUGGCUGCGGCCGUCGCCCUGGAGUCGUCGGACGCCGGAAUCCGGCCCUGGUUCUGAGCUUGU
rnacentral:lncRNA from 1 species